UACGUAGGGUGCAAGCGUUAAUCGGAAUUACUGGGCGUAAAGCGUGCGCAGGCGGUUUUGUAAGUCUGACGUGAAAUCCCCGGGCUCAACCUGGGAAUUGCGAUGAAGACUGCAAGGCUAGAAUCUGGCAGAGGGGGGUGGAAUUCCACGUGUAGCAGUGAAAUGCGUAGAGAUGUGGAGGAACACCGAUGGCGAAGGCAGCCCCCUGGGUCAAGAUUGACGCUCAUGCACGAAAGCGUGGGGAGCAAACAGG
rnacentral:rRNA from 1 species